GCCGACUUAGCUCAGUAGGUUGAGCAACUGACUUGUAAUCAGUAGGUCACCAGUUCGAUUCUGGUAGUCGGCACCA
rnacentral:tRNA from 1 species